rnacentral:rRNA from 1 species
AUGGCAACAUUUCACAUCACCACCCUAAGCAUACCAAAGGGGACCCUACGUAAGGUUGACAAAAUAAUACGCGACUUCGUCUGGAAAAAAGAGGACAAAACUCAGACAUCUGGUGGGCACGCCUUGGUUAGCUAGAAGACGGUCUGUCGCCCCAAGCAUCUGGGCGGUCUUGGGAUCAUGGACCUUGAGAGAUUUGGCCGGGCACUUCACCUCCGUUGGCCUUGGCUUCAAUGGACGGACCCAGACAGGCCUUGGGUGGGUUCUGAGCUGCCCUGCGACCAAGCUGACCUGAUCCUAUUUCGCGCCUGCACUACCAUCUCGUUGGGCAAUGGGGAAAAUGCUCUCUUCUGGCAUGACAACUGGAGUGGUAAAGGGCCCCUCAAGCUUAUUGCACCUGAGCUUUUCAAGAUAGCCUCCAGGAAAAACAGAACGGUGCACGAAGAAUUAUCGAACGAGAGUUGGAUCAGGGCAGUCUCUAGCCUUCGGUCCAUGCACCAGCUGGGGGAAUUCGUGUCUAUAUGGGAGUGGAUCAGCCAGACCACCCUGUUACCGACCAACGAGGACCACAUUUCCUGGAACCUGACUACCAACGGGGCUUACUCCUCUGCGUCGGUGUAUGGGGCGCAAUUCUAUGGCUCUCAUCCUAGGUUUAACCCCCCCAAGGUCUGGUCCGCUCAUGCCAAACCCAAGUGCAAAUUCUUCGCCUGGCUCGCCCUCCAUGGGAGGAUUUUGACUGCGGACAGGUUGGCAUUGCGUGGCUGGCCGCAUGACCCCAGAUGCCAGCUCUGCCUUCAGGAGCCAGAAACUGCAAGCCAUCUCUGCAAGGACUGCCCCUUUUGUGACGCCCGGAUAAUUGUGCUACAGUAA